rnacentral:rRNA from 1 species
CCUACGAGAGGCAGCAGUGAGGAAUAUUGGUCAAUGGGCGCAAGCCUGAACCAGCCAAGUCGCGUGAGGGAUGACGGUCCUAUGGAUUGUAAACCUCUUUUGUCGGGGAGCAAGGCCCGCCACGUGUGGCGGGAAGGAGAGUACCCGAAGAAAAAGCAUCUGCUAACUCCGUGCCAGCAGCCGCGGUAAUACGUAGGAUGCGAGCGUUAUCCGGAUUGAUUUGGUGUACAGGGUGCGUAGGCGGAAGGUUAAGUCAGCGGUAAAGUGUCGGUGCUAAACACCGGACUGCCGUUGAAACUGGUCUUCUUGAGUGAGCGAGAAGUGUGCGGAAUGCGUGGUGUAGCGGUGAAAUGCAUAGAUAUCACGAAGAACUCCGAUUGCGAAGGCAGCAUACCGGCGCUCAACUGACGCUGAGGCACGAAAGCGUGGGGAUCGAACAGGAUUAGAUACCCCUGUAGUC